rnacentral:rRNA from 1 species
UACCAGCACCCCGAGUGGUCGGGACGUUUAUUGGGCCUAAAGCAUCCGUAGCCGGUUCUACAAGUCUUCCGUUAAUCCACCUGCUUAACAGAUGGGCUGCGGAAGAUACUAUAGAGCUAGGAGGCGGGAGAGGCAAGCGGUACUCGAUGGUAGGGUAAAUCCGUUGAUCCAUUGAAGACCACCAGUGGCGAAGGCGGCUUGCCAGAACGCGCUCGACGGUGAGGGAU